UAGGGAAUCUUCGGCAAUGGACGAAAGUCUGACCGAGCAACGCCGCGUGAGUGAAGAAGGUUUUCGGAUCGUAAAACUCUGUUGUUAGAGAAGAACAAGGACGUUAGUAACUGAACGUCACCUGACGGUAUCUAACCAGAAAGCCACGGCUAACUAUGUGCCAGCAGCAGCGGUAAUACGUAGGUGGCAAGCGUUGUCCGGAUUUAUUGGGCGUAAAGCGAGCGCAGGCGGUUUCUUAAGUCUGAUGUGAAAGCCCCCGGCUCAACCGGGGAGGGUCAUUGGAAGCUGGGAGACUGGGGUGUAGAAGAAGAGAGUGGAAUUCCAUGUGUAGCGGUGGAAUGCGUGAAUCUAUAGAGGAACACCAGUGGCCAAGGCGGCUCUCUGGUCUGUAACUGACGCUGAGGCUCGAAAGCGUGGGCAGCAAACAGG
rnacentral:rRNA from 1 species